GACGAACGCUGGCGGCGUGCUUAACACAUGCAAGUCGAACGGAAAGGCCCUGCUUUUGUGGGGUGCUCGAGUGGCGAACGGGUGAGUAACACGUGAGUAACCUGCCCUUGACUUUGGGAUAACUUCAGGAAACUGGGGCUAAUACCGGAUAGGAGCUCCUGCUGCAUGGUGGGGGCUGGAAAGUUUCGGCGGUUGGGGAUGGACUCGCGGCUGAUCAGCUUGUUGGUGGGGUAGUGGCUUACCAAGGCUUUGGCGGGUAGCCGGCCUGAUAGGGUGACCGGACACAUUGGGACUGAGAUACGGCCCAGACUCCUACGGGAGGCAGCAGUGGGGAAUAUUGCACAAUGGGAGGAAGCCUGAUGCAGCAACGCCGUGUGCGGGAUGACGGCCUUCGGGUUGUAAUCCGCUUUCGCCUGUGACGAAGCGUGAGUGACGGUAAUGGGUAAAGAAGCACCGGCUAACUACGUG
rnacentral:rRNA from 1 species